rnacentral:tRNA from 1 species
GCGGGGGUUCCCGAGUGGACAAAGGGGCGGGACUUAAGAUCGAGGGCUCGGGGAGAGAUCCCGUGGCCGAGGCCUACGUGGGUUCGAAUCCCACCCCCCGCA